rnacentral:piRNA from 1 species
UGCAGAGAACCGAGCUCCCGGGGUGG